rnacentral:rRNA from 1 species
GAUGAACGCUGGCGGCGUGCUUAACACAUGCAAGUCGAACGAAGCACUUUAUUUGAUUUCCUUCGUGGCUGAUUAUUUUAUGACUGAGUGGCAGACGGGCGAGUAACGCGCAGGUCCCCUGCCUCUUACGGGGGGCUAACAGUUGGAAACGGCUGCUAAUACCCCAUAAGCGCACAGCAUCGCAUGCUGCACUGUCAAAAACUCCGGUGGUAUACGAGGGACCCGUGUUGGGUUAGCUAGUUGGUGAGGUAACAGGCCACCAAGGCGACGAUCCCUAGCCGAGCUGGGAGGGCGACCGACCACAUUGGGAGUGGGACACGGCCGGAACUCCUAGCGGAGGCAGCAGGCGUGAAUAUGGGACAAUGGGCGAAAGACUGAGGCAGCGACGCCGCGUGAGCGAAGAAGUAUUGCGGUAGGUAAAGCUCUAGCAGCAGGGAAGAUAAUGACGGUACCUGACGAAGAAGCACCGGCUAAAUACGUG